ACAACACCUGCAACUGAUUAAGCGUGGUCUCUGAAGUGUAAAACCGUUUAAUGUGUUGCUGGUCGGAGCUUUUAUUCAGUUAACUGCCCAAGGCAUUACGUCAGCUAACUUCCGGUAACUUGUUGGACAAGUGGUGUUGAAGAUUACGCUGGACUUUUACGUUCCCACCGUAAUGACGCCACUACAGAGACGUGGGUUUCCAUAAACGGAACAUUGUUAUUACCGGUGUCGGUGACACCAAAGAGGAAAAGCGAGGUGCGCUGCAGCCCAGACACACCUAAUAGGUGAGGGUGUGGUUUCACAGCUCAGCUGUUUGUCUGUCGAACUCCAAAAAAA